rnacentral:lncRNA from 1 species
AUGGCAGAGGGUUACACAUAUUUUGCAGAGGGUGAAACUGACAAUGCUGAGCGUGACUCUAUCGAGGACCAGUUUGGUGUGGGGAGGGGUUUGUUCUUUCGACCCUUAGAGUCCAGAACACCAGGGCCUAGUGUCACAGCAUUACACACCCCACAGCUUACCUCUACACGUUAUAUAGAUCGUCCCAUGACAAGCCAAGUCGAGCAGAAUCCAGAUUUAAGCUCACUCAUUACACAGUUAGCUGAGAAGCUAGGUGAAUCCAUUACAGCUAAGCUACAAUCUGACAGGUGCACACACAACACCAGUACUCCUGUACAGCCCUCAGAGAUGACAUUGCCUAACGUCAAGGUUGUCAUGCAGUCAGACAUAAGAGAGCCUCCUAUAUUCAGGGGUGAUAGCUCAGACAAAUUCACAGUUCAUGAGUGGGAAAAUCUUAUGACUCUGUAUUUAAAGAAACGAGCUAUUCCAGUGAUUGAGCAUUCACAAGAAGUCCUGGCAAAGCUAAUGGGCAAAGCAGGGGAUGUGGUGAGGAUAAAGCUGCGUAACGACACAUCUAUUAACCAUACUGCGAAUCCCGAUGUGAUUUUUGACAUUCUGAAACAACACUUCAGCGAACUGACUUACUCAAACAUGCCUUUAGCAGAUUUCUACAAUACACUGCCCAUGCCAGGUGAAGAUGCUAUGGAAUACUGGAUACGGCUAAACAAAACAGUUGAUGUAGCAGAUGAAUAUCUGAAAAGGCAAGGCCGUGGCAUUGAUGACCCGGGCCAUGAAGUCAGUAUGAUGUUCAUCAAAUACUGCCCAGACCAGUCUCUUGCAAGUGUUUUCAAGUUCAAGUCUGCUGAGAAAUGGUCGGCACGUGAGAUCCAAGAGAGGCUUGAUGAGCACAUGCGGGGACAGAAAACUCAAGCUGCAACUGUUAGGCCACUUAAGGUGAGCACAGUAGAGCACAAAGUCCUUUCCCAGUGUCAUGUGCCUAUGGCUGAUAAUACACCAGCCUCAAACACCACUGUACCGUCUGUGUCAUCUCCGGUGCCAAUGACUACUGCGAGUGUUGACAAUGUCUGCAUGAGGAGUUUGGUGAACUUGUUAGACCGACUGGUUACACAGCAUACACAAGUGCCAGCUAACCCCAGAGCUCAAGCCGCAGUCCCUCACUCUUUUCAAAAGGUGUGCAGGGUAUGUAGGGCUUCUGAUCAUUCCACAUUGUCUCACUGCAGGCGAGAGAACAGGUGUUUAAAGUGCUUAUCGCCUGGUCACUGGAAGAGGGACUGUCCUGAUCAGACCAACCAGCGCCGCUCUCAAUCUGCCAACAGUGCUGGUGGACAGGAUCAACAGUUAAACUAG